GACGAACGCUGGCGGCGUGCUUAACACAUGCAAGUCGAACGGUAAGGCCCUUCGGGGUACACGAGUGGCGAACGGGUGAGUAACACGUGGGUGAUCUGCCCUGCACUUCGGGAUAAGCCUGGGAAACUGGGUCUAAUACCGGAUAGGACCACUGCCUGCAUGGGUGGUGGUGGAAAGCUUUUGCGGUGUGGGAUGGGCCCGCGGCCUAUCAGCUUGUUGGUGGGGUGAUGGCCUACCAAGGCGACGACGGGUAGCCGGCCUGGGAGGGUGACCGGCGACACUGGGACUGAGAUACGGCCCAGACUGGUACGGGAGGCAGCAGUGGGGAAUAUUGCACAAUGGGCGCAAGCCUGAUGCGGCGACGCCGCGUGAGGGAUGACGGCCUUCGGGUUGUAAACCUCUUUCAGCACCGACGAAGCGCAAGUGACGGUAGGUGCAGAAGAAGGACCGGCCAACUACGUGCCAGCCGCCGCCGUAA
rnacentral:rRNA from 1 species